rnacentral:lncRNA from 1 species
GGAUGUGGGUGGGGACAAAUAAAGGAAUAAAAGCUGGCCAUCCCAGCGAGUAGCGGCAACCUGCUCAGGUAUCCUUCCAUGUAGUGGAAACUUGGUUCUUUUGCUCUUCACAAUAAAUCUUGCUGUUGGUCACUCUUUGCGUCCGCACUACCUUUAUGAGCUGAGAGGGUCUGUGGCUUCAUUUGUGAAGUCAGAGAGACUAUGAACCCACUGAGAGGAACAAAGAACUCCGGGCAUGCCAUCUUUAAGAGCUGUAACGCUCACUGCGAAGGUCUGCGGCUUCAUUCCUGAGGUCAGGGAGACCACGAACCCACGGGAAGGAAGAAACUCAGGACACAUCUGAACAUCUGAAGGAACAAACUCCAGAUGCAUCAUCUUUAAGAGCUGUAAUACUCACCGGGAGGGUCCGCAGCUUCAUUCUUGAUUUCUUUAAAGACUCGUGCAGCACAUCAUUAUCGCUGGAUGCCCGGACAUGUAAUACACCUGACAGCAUGUGAAGUGCUCAGAAUGGGGCAGGAUGUCACCUGGAAUCAGCACUAAGUGAUUCAGACUUUCCUUACUUUUAAAUGUGCUGCUCUUCAUUUCAAGAUGCCGUUGCAGCUCUGAUAAAUGCAAACUGACAACCUUCAAGGCCACGACGGAGGGAAAAUCAUUGGUGCUUGGAGCAUAGAAGACUGCCCUUCACAAAGGAAAUCCCUGAUUAUUGUUUGAAAUGCUGAGGACGUUGCUGCGAAGGAGACUUUUUUCUUAUCCCACCAAAUACUACUUUAUGGUUCUUGUUUUAUCCCUAAUCACCUUCU